UGCACAAGGUGACCUAGGGGAGUUUGUCAAGUACGUGGAGCGCUUUGGUGAUCUGACCCUAAAGUGCAGUGAAGGGCUCUCAACAUUCAUCAGUGUUAAUCCAGAAUCUCUCCGGGAGUACUUCUAUGCCUGCAUUGUUUCCUAACAGUUAAAUUUAUUCAUAACAUCAUUCCUGACUAUAUCGGGUAAAAGCUCUUGGAUAAGGACAAAUAGCCUUAUUUGGGAUCUGAUGAUGUGAUUUUUCUUCAUUGCACAGCGUCCGAGACAAAAUUCCCCUGGCCUAAGGCCAUGUUGUACAGAGCAUUCACUGCAUGUUGACCUACCAAGAGGAAGAGAAGCUAUUUUGCCUGCACUAAAAUCUUGCCACUGUAGAAUGAGGUCUUUCCACUUUUAUGAGGUUUUAGUAACCUGCGGCAACAAAAGCAUAAGCACUGCAGGAAAUACAACAUUGCAACAGGUGGUAUGUGUGAAGGAGUAUUAAUAAAAUCCUAAGAAAACUGUAAUACAGUGAAGGAUUGUUAGAAGAGUUAUCCUUUGCUAUCUUUAAAGAAUCUUCCACAGAGAGAAAAAUCACAUCCACUUAGGGCACCCAGUCUUAAAAAAUCCAUUACAUAGAUAAAUACAUACAUACAAAUGAGACACUAUUCUUAUAGAAAUCUCCUGUAAGAGCAGGGAAACAUGCAAAUAACACAGACUUAUAUCCACCAAGAAAUGCUGCAAGCAGUGGUUUCUCCUUCGUGCUUUUUAACAAUGUUCAAUUCCAAUUUCCUCAGGAAGACCUUGGAACUCCUUCUCCCAGUGGCCCUUCCAAAUCCAGCUGCUCGGUCCCUCGUGAUAUUAGAACUGGAGGAGAUGCUUCUCCCAGUAGACUGACCUUAGUGAAGGCUGGAAAUGUAUUCAAAACAAGACUGCAACCUCGGAGUUGUCACCUGGAGGCCUCCUUGUUAGAAACUGAAUCCUAGCGUAAGGCAGUGACAAGAUGACUGUGCAUCUCAUGCUUCUGUUGAUCUCCAAGGAAGGACUGACUCGGUGGAUAGAGCUCAUGUCAAGCAGGAGCCCUCUGUCACCUCAGUAGCUGAUUACGUGUAAAGCAAAGUUGGAAAACAGACUUCUCCAAAAGACUGAAAGCAAGAAAGUACUCAUUUGACCAUAAAUAUUUUUAUUAAAUGUGAAAAUACACGGGCAUAAAAAUAGUACCUAUAUUUGUAGACAUGUCUGAGACCCAUUUCAGUUAAUGUUCGGUGGUGUUUUUACUAAGACACUAAAUUGAGAUGGAUUAAGUUACUUCGUCUUGUCUCAUUCAAACCAACCACAGUAGGAGUAACGGCCUAACUGAUCAGACAUCUCCAGUGUUUCCCCUCCCCUGUGCUCUGCUUUCCACUGCACGGAAGAGGUUCAACCCACAGAGGCACGAAACAAAGUCUGUUUACUGUACACAAAGCCACGCAGUGGCUAAUUUUACUCUUAAAUCAUUCAGCAAAUGAGAUCAUUAAACAAAA